GUUUUUUACUUUCAGCUCCAUCCUGCUGAGGCUCACCAUCAUUUCAAGAAACUGCAUAGAGCACACUUGAAUUCAGGCUGGAAUCCUCAGAUUCCUAUUAGGGUGAGUAGAUGUUUCUUGCAUAGCCUUGAUGACAGUGUAAUAUCAGGAAUAUGGCUGUUCAGUGGGCAGGAGACACUGCUGAGUACUCAUUAAGCAUCAGACUUUCCCCUACAUUACUGACGCAGUUGCACAGCCUAAUCUGUACCACUUGCCACUGUAUCUACAUUUACUUGGAUAUUUUCAUACAUGGAAACACUGUAUGGAAUCAGAGACUCAUCCCAUGAUCUGAUUUUCCAGGGCAACACAUCUUCAGACAUCAGGAGGAUCACAGCUCGGGAAAAGCAAUAUGAUCAGUGACGCCACUAAGGAUAUUCAAGACAUUGAACUCAGUCAUCCAUCUGAGGAGAAUAUGAUGGGCAAAGUGCAGUAUUUUAUAGGGACGCUCCAGCUGAGGUUCGGUGUGGCACUGAGGGUCCUGUGGACAAUAGUUAUCUCCAAUUCAUCUCCUUAUGAACUUUCCAUAAUAGAAUUGCAUUCUGUACUGCACUACAUAGACCUCUUGGUACCACUCAUUAUUUAUGCCAGUGCAAUAGUAAACUCUGUGAGCUGUCUGGCUGCAUUGGUGUUAACAAUAACGCAUGGUGCAAAUUCUUUUGAAUUUGCAGGGACGAUGGGUAUAUUCCCUGCAGAUAUCACAUCUUUCGUCCUCUCGCUGUUUGAGUGCAUCUUGCCCGUGCUGCUCCUUGUAACCGUGUGCUACCAAAUGCUAAGAAAUUUGCUCCAAAUGUUCAGCUGAUGUUGCAAGGAGCCUGAAGUCUCCACAUCUGCAUAGAAUGGAGACUGAGAUGGGGUGGUUGCCCUCCCUGUUAAGUGGUUUAAUGCAAUGCCUUCAUAUGCUUUCCCGCUCCUUUUCCUUUGUGCCAUCCAGGAUAUCCUUGUCUAUAUAAUAAAGAGGAGCUGAAGUCUUUCAAGAAAAAUAAUUUUCAUUGAUUUGUUGAUGUUGACUUUUCUGUGGU
rnacentral:lncRNA from 1 species